rnacentral:sRNA from 1 species
AAAAUGGACAGCAAUUCAGAGAACAUUUGUCAAUUUUCCAUAUUUUUAAAAAUCAUUUAUUCUCAACCUUUAUAAAAUUUAUAUUAACACAAUCAUUCUUUUUUAAUAAAAUGAUACGUUGGUUAAAGAUUGUAACAUCGUGAAUAUAAUGAUAUGAUUGUCAAUGAUAUGAUAUAAUAUGGUACAUUUAUUUAUACAUGUAUAUAUAUAUAUGGAUAUGUUACGUAAAAAGAAAGAAAUAUGCAUAUGAAAUGUAAAUUAGCAUUGUUAUAAUUGAUUUUGUUAUGAUAAUCUGAAUUAAAGAAAGAUUUCUAAAAAGC